UACGUAGGGUGCGAGCGUUAAUCGGAAUUACUGGGCGUAAAGCGUGCGCAGGCGGUUCGUUGUGUCGGCGGUGAAAGCCCCGGGCUUAACCUGGGAAUGGCCGUUGAAACUGGCGAACUGGAGUGUGGCAGAGGGGGGUGGAAUGCCGCGUGUAGCAGUGAAAUGCGUAGAGAUGCGGCGGAACACCGAUGGCGAAGGCAGCCCCCUGGGCUGAGAUUGACGCUCAGGCACGAAAGCGUGGGGAGCAAACAGG
rnacentral:rRNA from 1 species